rfam:Salmo salar isolate Sally breed double haploid chromosome ssa19, whole genome shotgun sequence.
GUGUGUUUAUGAUGGUCUGUGUCUAAACUCUGUGGAGGGACCAGACUUGAUGCUUUACAC